GAACGCUGGCGGCGUGCUUAACACAUGCAAGUCGAACGGAAAGGCCCUGCUUUUGUGGGGUGCUCGGGUGGCGAACGGGUGAGUAACACGUGAGUAACCUGCCCUUGACUUUGGGAUAACUUCAGGAAACUGGGGCUAAUACCGGAUAGGAGCUCCUGCUGCAUGGUGGGGGUUGGAAAGUUUCGGCGGUUGGGGAUGGACUCGCGGCUUAUCAGCUUGUUGGUGGGGUAGUGGCUUACCAAGGCUUUGACGGGUAGCCGGCCUGAGAGGGUGACCGGCCACAUUGGGACUGAGAUACGGCCCAGACUCCUACGGGAGGCAGCAGUGGGGAAUAUUGCACAAUGGGCGGAAGCCUGAUGCAGCAACGCCGCGUGCGGGAUGACGGCCUUCGGGUUGUAAACCGCUUUCGCCUGUGACGAAGCGUGAGUGACGGUAAUGGGUAAAGAAGCACCGGCUAACUACGUG
rnacentral:rRNA from 1 species